rnacentral:rRNA from 3 species
UGGGGAAUAUUGCACAAUGGAGGGAACUCUGAUGCAGCGACGCCGCGUGAACGAAGAAGGCUUUCGAGUCGUAAAGUUCUUUUAUAUGGGAAGAUAAUGACGGUACCAUAAGAAAAAGCCCCGGCUAACUACGUGCCAGCAGCCGCGGUAAUACGUAGGGGGCUAGCGUUGUCCGGAAUCACUGGGCGUAAAGGGUUCGCAGGCGGAAAUGCAAGUCAGGUGUAAAAGGCAGUAGCUUAACUACUGUAAGCAUUUGAAACUGCAUAUCUUGAGAAGAGUAGAGGUAAGUGGAAUUUUUAGUGUAGCGGUGGAAUGCGUAGAUAUUAAAAAGAAUACCGGUGGCGAAGGCGACUUACUGGGCUCAUUCUGACGCUGAGGAACGAAAGCGUGGGUAGCAAACAGG